rnacentral:rRNA from 1 species
GAUGGGGGGGGGCAAGUGUUCUUCGGAAUGACUGGGCGUAAAGGGCACGUAGGCGGUGAAUCGGGUUGAAAGUGAAAGUCGCCAAAAAGUGGCGGAAUGCUCUCGAAACCAAUUCACUUGAGUGAGACAGAGGAGAGUGGAAUUUCGUGUGUAGGGGGUGAAAUCCGUAGAUCUAUGAAGGAACGCCAAAAGCGAAGGCAGCUCUCUGGGUCCCUACCGACGUUGGGUGCGAAAGCAAGGGGAGCGAACAGG